rnacentral:rRNA from 1 species
UACGUAGGGUGCGAGCGUUGUUCGGAAUUACUGGGCGUAAAGAGCUCGUAGGUGGUUUGUCGCGUUGUUCGUGAAAACCUGAGGCUUAACCUUGGGCGUGCGGGCGAUACGGGCAGACUGGAGUACUGCAGGGGAGACUGGAAUUCCUGGUGUAGCGGUGGAAUGCGCAGAUAUCAGGAAGAACACCGGUGGCGAAGGCGGCUCUCUGGGCCUUACCUGACGCUGAGGAGCGAAAGCGUGGGUAGCGAACAGG